AGACAGAAAUUUACUUUCCCCUGUCCGCCCGAAAAUUACAAGCAUAAGCUCAAAACUCAAAGGACUUGGCGGCGCUUUAGAUCCACCUAGAGGAGCCUCUCCUAUAACCGAUAACCCCCGUUAAACCUUACCUUCUUUUGCCUUCAGUUUAUAUACCGCCGUCGUCAGCUUACCCUUUGAGGGUCUUAUUAGUAAGCAAAAUCGGUUAAGCCCCAGACGUCAGGUCGAGGUGUAGCAUAUAAGAAGUGAAGAGAUGGGCUACAUUUCCUAAAUUAGGGUCCACGGAUAAUGUUUUGAAAGAAACAUAUUGAAGUAGGAUUUAGCAGUAAGUAAAAAAUAGAGUGUUUU
rnacentral:rRNA from 1 species